UACGUAGGGUGCAAGCGUUAAUCGGAGUUACUGGGCGUAAAGCGUGCGCAGGCGGUUAUGUAAGACAGAUGUGAAAUGCCCGGGCUUAACCUGGGAACUGCAUUUGUGACUGCAUGGCUAGAGUUUGGCAGAGGGGGGUAGAAUUCCACGUGUAGCAGUGAAAUGCGUAGAUAUGUGGAGGAACACCGAUGGCGAAGGCAGCCCCCUGGGCUGACACUGACGCUCAGGCACGAAAGCGUGGGGAGCAAACAGG
rnacentral:rRNA from 1 species